rnacentral:rRNA from 1 species
AGUGAACGCUGGCGGUAGGCCUAACACAUGCAAGUCGAGCGGCAGCACAGUAAGAGCUUGCUCUUACGGGUGGCGAGUGGCGGACGGGUGAGGAAUACAUCGGAAUCUACUUUUUCGUGGGGGAUAACGUAGGGAAACUUACGCUAAUACCGCAUACGACCUACGGGUGAAAGCAGGGGAUCUUCGGACCUUGCGCGAUUGAAUGAGCCGAUGUCGGAUUAGCUAGUUGGCGGGGUAAAGGCCCACCAAGGCGACGAUCCGUAGCUGGUCUGAGAGGAUGAUCAGCCACACUGGAACUGAGACACGGUCCAGACUCCUACGAGAGGCAGCAGUGGGGAAUAUUGGACAAUGGGCGCAAGCCUGAUCCAGCCAUACCGCGUGGGUGAAGAAGGCCUUCGGGUUGUAAAGCCCUUUUGUUGGGAAAGAAAAGCAGCAGGUUAAUACCCCGCUGUUCUGACGGUACCCAAAGAAUAAGCACCGGCUAACUUCGUG